AAUGGUGGUUAUUGUAGCGGUGUCACACCUCUUCCCAUUCCGAACAGAGAAGUUAAGCCCGCUUACGCUGAUGGUACUACUGUGAGAAGUGGGAGAGUAGGAAGCUGCCGCUG
rnacentral:rRNA from 1 species